rnacentral:rRNA from 1 species
GGAAUCUUCCGCAAUGGGGAAUUUUCCGCAAUGGGCGAAAGCCUGACGGAGCAACGCCGCGUGAGGGAUGAAGGCCUCUGGGCUGUAAACCUCUUUUUUCAAGGAAGAAGAUCUGACGGUACUUGAAGAAUAAGCCACGGCUAAUUCCGUGCCAGCAGCCGCGGUAAUACGGGAGUGGCAAGCGUUAUCCGGAAUUAUUGGGCGUAAAGCGUCCGCAGGCGGCCUUGUAAGUCUGUUGUUAAAGCGUGGAGCUUAACUCCAUUUGAGCAAUGGAAACUGCAAGGCUUGGGUGUGGUAGGGGCAGAGGGAAUUCCCGGUGUAGCGGUGAAAUGCGUAGAUAUCGGGAAGAACACCAGUGGCGAAGGCGCUCUGCUGGGCCAUAACUGACGCUCAUGGACGAAAGCCAGGGGAGCGAAAGGGAUUAGAUACCCCUGUAG